rnacentral:rRNA from 1 species
GUGGGGAAUAUUGCACAAUGGGGGAAACCCUGAUGCAGCGACGCCGCGUGAGUGAAGAAGUAUUUCGGUAUGUAAAGCUCUAUCAGCAGGGAAGAAAAUGACGGUACCUGACUAAGAAGCCCCGGCUAACUACGUGCCAGCAGCCGCGGUAAUACGUAGGGGGCAAGCGUUAUCCGGAUUUACUGGGUGUAAAGGGAGCGUAGACGGUAAAGCAAGUCUGAAGUGAAAGCCCGGGGCUCAACCCCGGGACUGCUUUGGAAACUGUUUAACUAGAGUGCUGGAGAGGUAAGCGGAAUUCCUAGUGUAGCGGUGAAAUGCGUAGAUAUUAGGAGGAACACCAGUGGCGAAGGCGGCUUACUGGACAGUAACUGACGUUGAGGCUCGAAAGCGUGGGGAGCAAACAGGAUUAGAAACCCGAGUAGUCC